GGGGCAUAGCUCAGUUGGGAGAGCGCCUGAAUGGCAUUCAGGAGGUCAUGGGUUCGAGUCCCACUGUCUCC
rnacentral:tRNA from 1 species